rnacentral:rRNA from 1 species
GAACGCUGGCGGCAGGCCUAACACAUGCAAGUCGAGCGCCGUAGCAAUACGGAGCGGCAGACGGGAGAGUAACACGUGGGAACGUGCCCUUUGGUUCGGAACAACCCAGGGAAACUUGGGCUAAUACCGGAUAAGCCCUUACGGGGAAAGAUUUAUCGCCGAAGGAUCGGCCCGCGUCUGAUUAGCUAGUUGGUGGGGUAAUGGCCCACCAAGGCGACGAUCAGUAGCUGGUCUGAGAGGAUGAUCAGCCUCACUGGGACUGAGACACGGCCCAGACUCCUACGGGAGGCAGCAGUGGGGAAUAUUGGACAAUGGGCGCAAGCCUGAUCCAGCCAUGCCGCGUGGGUGAUGAAGGCCCUAGGGUUGUAAAGCCCUUUCGGCGGGGAAGAUAAUGACGGUACCCGCAGAAGAAGCCCCGGCUAACUUCGUGCCAGCAGCCGCGGUAAUACGAAGGGGGCUAGCGUUGCUCGGAAUCACUGGGCGUAAAGCGCACGUAGGCGGAUUGCUAAGUCAAGGGUGAAAUCCUGGAGCUCAACUCCAGAACUGCCUUUGAUACUGGCGAUCUCGAGUCCGGGAGAGGUGAGUGGAACUGC